CGAAUCGCGCGCGCCGAAACACCGCCCCGCGCAGCAGCAGGCGGGCUACGAAAGGUGCGUGGAGUUCUUUACUUAGAGCCGGUGCUCCCCGUGAGGAAGGCGGGCGGGAGAAGGAGAGAAACGCUAUUCCCCAAAGUCUACUGCGCAAGGAGCGCGCUCCGUAACGCCUUCGGCUCGGCAGGCAAAACCUGGGUCGGGGCGCACGUUACGUAAGCGGACGGCGUACGCAAGAUGGUGUGUUAUACUGGUUUAUCUAAGGCAGUCUAUUAUCAUCUCUCUCCUUAUGGCAAAAUUUACAUGGAUGUGAGCAGUAUUAAAAAGUAAUCAUUUAUGAGUUCUCUACUCAAGCACAGCUAAUGGAGCUGCCUUCGCAUAGGAUGUACAUUUCUGUUCCCAAGGGGUGAGGCACCGCAGAAUUUCCCUCUCCCGCCGAGCACCGUAAUUCCCCACGAAAAUUACAACAAUAACGAAACCCCAGCUCGUGCCCGGGCAGCUCCGGGAGCGGGGUGCCACUCACGCAUCUUCCUAAACAAGGCACACGGCGUUUUUGGAUUGGAUGCCCAAAACCCGUCAGAGAGCUGGAAGAGAAGUGACUUGCCUGAAGUCACAGGACAAGAAAAUGAGGCUGAGUCACACACAUGACUUAAUCUGCCAUUUUAAAAGGAUGGAAAAGGUGCUUUUUAGUAUAUGAAUACUUUAAGACAUCUGCAGUCUUCUUGGAGGGAGUAUGUGGAAAGCAAUUACCCGUUUUAGCUUGCCUCUGGUAGCACAGUCAGUACGGGACUGCAUGUCAAGGAGACAUCCGCGGAUUCCUGUGAGCAGGAGGAGUUCCUGGCCACCCCUUGUGUGGGUUUGAAAUGGCAGAAGGGAUGGGAGCAACAUUCUCAGCCUGUUUCAAGGUGUUUGUGAAAACUUACCCACCCUUUGUCUGUGGGAGGUUCAGGGCACUUUUUCCAAGCUGUUUCUUAGCCAAGUCAGGAAACCAAGCAACAAACCCCACAGCCCUCAGCCAUCAUCAGCACACCACAGGAGUGCUCGCAGGGUCCCCAUUUGAGACAUCAAGCAAUUUACAUGAGUACCAAAAGUCUAAUCCUGGGAGCCCUGAGGCUUUGUCUAUAUUGAGGAACCGGCUGGCACUGCUUUUGAAAACUGCAUUAUUCCACAAGAGCUAUUCCAGAAGAGCACUUAGGCAGGCAGCCCUUUAAAGGCGAAUUCCUUCACAAAGUAUGCUUUUAUUCCAGAACAGAAUGCACAUGCAGAGAGUGACCCUUCUGGUCUUACAGAGCACCUCUGCUACAGCUAAUGUCUCUGUAAACAACUUUCCCUUCAUAAUUUUUUUAGUUUGGAAAAUAGUUCCCAGAAAGGUCAAUGAACGCACAGAAUCUGAAGAUUAUUUCCCACUCCAAAGUGCUACUUUGGGCAAUAAAUUCCAUUCUACAGCUUCAAAA